UACGUGACCGAUACGUGACCCAAACAUCGGAGCAGUUUGGACUCACCAACACUCUGGAGGACAGAGCCCUAGAGGAGGAUAUACAAGCUUGAGGAAGCAAGGAGCUACCUAAGAAGGCAAAUCUGAGUUACAGUUUCUCCUACUCUCCUCUCCCACACUUUAUGAAGAAUAAAGUUCCCGGACGAGUUUCGGAGAAUAGCCACAAUUUCUCACCAAAGCUUACUGCCCUGAUGAAAGCCAAGGCUGAGGCCCCACCUGGAUAAACUGAG